UGUGAAUAAAUCGAAAAUAUUGGUAAAAAAAAUCAAAAAUAUACACAUAUGCAUAAUCUUAUGAUAUACUAAUAUAUUUAAAUAAUUAUUUAUUGAGUACGUGUUAGAAUUCUUACAAAGUGGACACAAUAUCAUGAUCAAACUGAUUAAAAAAUAUGCCAUAAAAUUAUAGACAGGUAUACAUUUGUGAUAAGGUAAAAUAACAAAUGAUUUGACUACCAAAAUUUUCUAUUCAGGAUUGCUCAAAAUCAUUUAUGUAAUCCUUUAUAUACUAAAGCGCAAGUCGCUUGGCGAAUCAGAAUUUGACACAUAGAUUAAAAAAUAAAAAUAGUUUAAAAUGAAAAAACAAAUGAAAAACAAAUGACAAAAUCAAAAUAUUUUCUUUGGCCACUUCGUCGACAGUUCUCCGUUCCCACCACGAUCACCAUUCACCAACAAUCUCCAAAUAACUACCUAUAUAUUUGUACGAGGAUAUUUAUAACUGCAUCUUGCUUCAAAAACAUACUUUCUCUAAUUCUCUAAUCCGCAAACCGAUGUAGACAUGCAAGCUUCUUUGCCGAGAC
rnacentral:lncRNA from 1 species